AUCAAAGACCUUUGGAACUUUUUACAGUCACUUAAAAAGUAAUGGCUGCUCUGCGCUCCCCUUCCCGUCCCGGUGCAGCAGAAGUCUGGGAUGUCUUCUGUUCGACCUCAGCAGUCCUUUCUCCUGCUCCAGAAUGUCUCCAUCCCAUUUCUCCUCCUGAGGUGUUCGCCUGAUUCCGUUCUAUCAUUGUCAGAAACAGAAAGCAUAAAAGUGUCAGCUGAAAUGUACUCUUGCAUUUUCUUUUUACACUUGCCUCCUUUUUCCUGAAUGUCUGAAGCAAUUUGUGGGAAAACGUAUCACAUGUUGAUCAGCAUGUUUCCUAAACUCUGGAACCUGGUCCAGUCCAUGGCCAAUAUGAUGACGACUCUGGAACGGACUCUGCAAACGUUUGCUAUUUAUUGCCAUACAAUAAAACUUUGUGAAUUAUACAUACCA